ensembl:lncRNA
GGCCAAUCUCUCCCGUCUCGCGCAGCACUGGUUACUGGCCGGGGGUCCCAACGCACACCAGGUAGCGGAGCGUGUCGUCGUGGAUCGCCUCCUGCGGGCCCUUCCUCGCCCGCUACGUCAGGCAGCCGGCAUGCGGAACCCAGCGAACGUGGACGAACUGGUAGAGCGCCGCCGUUUCCCCGAAGGGUGGUCCAGGAGCGGCGCACGCCGGAGGGCACCCAGCGACCGGUGAGCAGGCCGGCGGUUCCCGGCCCUAGAGAUGAGCCCAUGCCCACCGAGGCACCCCGUUCACCGCCACGACCUUGGCUGGCAGGCUGCGCCGUGCACACGGAGAACGCGCCGCGGGCGGAGGUUCACCUAAACGGCCGCCCCUUCCUCGCUCUUCUAGACUCCGGCAGCGCGGUCAGCCUCGUGAAGACGGCGGUGUUGCCCCUGCGGCCUGAAGCCAAAACGAAGCUCUCCAUCACCUGUGUGCACGGCGACACCAGGGACGUGCCGGCUCGACGAGUUACCAUCGCUGCGCCACCCGGCGCCUGGCCCAUAGAUGUCGGACUGGUCAAGGAUCUGCCGGUACCGGUCCUCCUCGGGCGAGACUGGCCAGGGUUCGACCAGCUGCUCGCCUCCGUCACUCAGCCUGCCGGCCCGGCCGGGAACCGCCCAUCCCGGAAGCCCAGCAAGAGGAACCGACGGCGUCCCGUGCUGCUGGCCUCGGACAGCCCCAGAGAUGAGAGCAGUGUGUGACCGCCAGCCCCACCAUACACGGGAGAGCACAACGGACCCACCCUGCCACCGCACACCAGAG